UACGGGGGGGGCAAGCGUUGUUCGGAAUUACUGGGCGUAAAGGGCUCGUAGGUGGCCAAUUAAGUCAGACGUGAAAUCCCCAGGCUCAACUUGGGAACUGCGUCUGAUACUGGUUGGCUUGAAUUCGGGAGAGGGAUGCAGAAUUCCAGGUGUAGCGGUGAAAUGCGUAGAUAUCUGGAGGAAUACCGGUGGCGAAGGCGGCAUCCUGGACCGAGAUUGACACAGAUGAGCGAAAGCCAGGGGAGCAAACGGG
rnacentral:rRNA from 1 species